rnacentral:rRNA from 1 species
AUGAGGCGAACCACACCUAACCCUAUUUGGUGUCAGAUAUGGAAGUUAUCUUGUCCGGCAAAAGUCAAAAUUUUUAUAUGGCGUACGUUACAUGGCACGCUCCCAUGCCGGGCAACACUUGCUAAUAGACACAUGAAGGUCUCGCCCCUUUGUCCUACUUGCUCUCAGGGUGUAGAAGACACGAAGCACAUGCUUUUCCUAUGUACUAAAGCAAAGGAGGUUUGGAAGAGGCUAGGAUUAGAUGAGAUUAUUGAUAGAGCUUGUGAGGUUGAUCGUGCUGGAGAAGCGAUACUGGAAUACCUUUUAGUUCUCCCAGAUCAAGAUUUGCGUAUUAUGGGGUACCAAAAUGUACGAGAAAUGAUAGCUAUUUCAGCUUGGUAUCUAUGGUGGGAGAGACGAAAAUUAGUGCACAAGGAAACAACUUAG